rnacentral:rRNA from 1 species
GCUGAUCCUCUUCGGAGGUGACGCUUGUGGAACGAGCGGCGGACGGGUGAGUAACACGUGGGCAACCUGCCUGUAAGACUGGGAUAACCCCGGGAAACCGGGGCUAAUACCGGAUAAUACUUUUCAUCACCUGAUGAAAAGUUGAAAGGUGGCUUUUAGCUACCACUUACAGAUGGGCCCGCGGCGCAUUAGCUAGUUGGUGAGGUAACGGCUCACCAAGGCAACGAUGCGUAGCCGACCUGAGAGGGUGAUCGGCCACACUGGGACUGAGACACGGCCCAGACUCCUACGGGAGGCAGCAGUAGGGAAUCUUCCGCAAUGGACGAAAGUCUGACGGAGCAACGCCGCGUGAGUGAUGAAGGUUUUCGGAUCGUAAAGCUCUGUUGUUAGGGAAGAACAAGUGCCGUUCGAAUAGGGCGGCACCUUGACGGUACCUAACCAGAAAGCCCCGGCUAACUACGUGCCAGCAGCCGCGGUAAUACGUAGGGGGCAAGCGUUGUCCGGAAUUAUUGGGCGUAAGCGCGCGCAGGCGGUCCUUUAAGUCUGAUGUGAAAGCCCACGGCUCAACCCGUGGAGGGUCAUUGGAAACUGGAGGACUUGAGUACAGAAGAGGAGAGUGGAAUUCCACGUGUAGCGGUGAAAUGCGUAGAGAUGUGGAGGAACACCAGUGGCGAAAGGCGACUCUCUGGUCUGUA